rnacentral:tRNA from 1 species
GCCUCAGUAGCUCAGUUGGUUAGAGCGGCGGACUGUUAAUCCGUAGGUCGUAGGUUCGAGCCCUACCUGAGGCGCCA